rnacentral:misc_RNA from 1 species
UACGUAGGGGGCAAGCGUUGUCCGGAAUUACUGGGCGUAAAGCGCGCGCAGGCGGUCUCGUAAGUCUGAUGUGAAAUCCCACGGCUCAACCGUGGAACUGCAUUGGAAACUGGGAGACUUGAGUGUGGGAGAGGAAAGUGGAAUUCCCCGUGUAGCGGUGAAAUGCGUAGAUAUGUGGAGGAACACCAGUGGCGAAGGCGACUUUCUGGCCUACAACUGACGCUGAGGCGCGAAAGCGUGGGGAGCAAACAGG